CUUGGAUCCUGUGAAAGAGCAGCUGUUGAGGACACGAUUGAUUGCUCCCAGCAGGUAACUGACUUAUGGCAGCACUGAUGAGCUCUCAGACCAGAAGCAACUGUCAAUGGAAAUGGUGAAGAAUGCUCAGCUAAGUCUGUUCAGCUGUCCAGAACCCCGCUCAGGGGACACUCGCUCGAGUUGCUGCCCUGAAGUGAAGUCACAGUUCAUGCUUUUUCUCAGCUGCUUCAUCAAGCUGACCCAGAAGAGGGGGAAGACACUUGAAGACUCACUCAAGUGAUGGAUGUCCUGUUCAUUUGAAUUCUUCAUAGCUGAAUAUCCAAAAAUAGUGCUAAAAUACUAAAAAUUAUUGGUGAAUGAUGUUUUCUCCCAUGUUUACUGAAAGCAAUAAAAAUUCAGAGAGAUU
rnacentral:lncRNA from 1 species